UUCUGUAAGGUGGAGCUGAAUCCCUUCCUUCCCCUCUCAGCCCCCACCACUCCUUUUCUAAAGAGUUCAGGUCCUUGUGGACCUGUGAAGUCUCUGUUGGCCCUUGUCAUUUGAAUGGCUCAAUGAAGUGGCACUUGUGACUGAAAGCAAGGCUUUUCGGAUGUCUGGAUGCUCUUUGGCUGGUUCAGUAUUAUCCAGGGGUCACCAAGCAGUUGAAACAAUGGCCAGCAAGAGGGACAGCUGGAUUGGCUCAGCCUCCCUCGCCUGAUGGGGCACAUUCCUGGCGCCAUCAUCAGGGCUAGAGUGUGGGUGAUAUUACGAGAGGUUCUUUCUCCCACACCUCAUGCAUCACGUGUGAUAGGAUAAUGGGGGGGGGGGUGUCCUAGUUGCCAUUCCUUUGUAGACCACAUCAAAGCACAGCUAUUAUCCCGCAUGGUAAGUUAACGUCCAUCCCAAUGUAAGCAUUGUUUUAUCCCCUUUAUAUUAUUACAUGAAGCACUGGCUUAUACAUUAUGUAUGGGACAUCAAACACCCUGUGUAAUCUUAUUUGAGUGUGAAUAGAACCUAUGUUUUAAUAAUAACCAGCAUUUUUACUAUGUGUAUGGCAUCACAGAUGUGUCAUUUUAAAUUAUGUAGAUAGCUUUUAAAGCAUGUAGUGACUAAAAUAAUUACAGUUGCUUCAUGUAGCCCAUAUAGUAUAUGCCAGUUAGGCAGAUAUGGACAUUCAACUCACAUAAAAAGGUCACCUUAACUCUCCAGUCAGAAAGCAUGGAUGUCUCAAGUAGAACUGGAAUGGUCAUUGCCUGGGAAGGGCCGCAGUCCUGUCCCUUCCACAGGCAUAUGGUGUUGCUAUGCCUCCAUUUGCGGUGGGUCUGAAUUCUGUGUCACCCUUUCCAUCGUCUAAGGCCCAGAAGUAGGAUGUGGUCCAAGGAGCGCCCAAGACAAAUGCUCAUUGGGAGAGCACAUAAAAAUUUGCCUGCCUCUUCAAAACAUUUCUCCUGUUCCCCCAGGGCCCACUAUACCUUCCUAGGAUGAGGUCUCUCAUGCUGGAGCCCCUCUGUAACUGUGCCCUGUCCCCUGUCCCCCUUUGGAUGCUGGCAGUCCAGGGAGGUGCAGGAGAAAGCUUGCUCCCAGGAGCCACUCUGUUCUCCACAUGGUGUCUGCUCUGUAGAGCUGGGAACCCAGGGGUGGAGGCCAUUCGGGAUCAGCAAAGGGGAGCAGCAGCCUGAGAGUUUGAAUGGGAUGCCCGUAUGCUGCCUGUGGGGGUUGGGCUUUCCGACCAGCAUCUGGAGAUGGCAGCCUGGGCCUGGACAGGAAACUGGUGCUGAGUCAACUAGGAAGUGGCAAGAGCUGCUGUUGUCCUUACACAGAUCUCUGUCUACCCAGAACUGGAUGUCCCUCCCGAAACAGGAGGGCUGUUCCCCAACUAUGGGACAGCAACCGUGUCUUGACUUCAGAAAGCAGCCCUGCCGUGACAGGAGGACUGAGCCCGACCACGUUUGUAUGUCUCACGGAGAUUUGACAGUUUUGAGCAGCUUCUCUAGCGACCAGGGAGGCCAGCUGGAUUGCCCAUAGAAGUCAAAAGAAGGCAUCAGAUCCCCUGAAACUGGAGUUACAGAUGGUUGUGACAGGAGAGCUUAGAGCUGAACAGGACAAAGCAACCUUGGGAGUACUGGGACCACAGAGCCAAAACCAAGAAAAUCUUCGCCGUUGAAUAGAUCCACCACCACCCUCAUGACAGCCAUCUUUAUGAAUUUGUGGACCCGUUAACACUUUUUAAGAACACGAACAGGCUGGGUAUGUAGUUCCGCAGUAGAGAGCUUGCCUAGCAGGUAAAAGACCUUUGGUUCUGGAGUGCGGGCAGGAUGGGGAUAUUUUUCGGAAAACAAAACAAAAGAAUCUGAUCAUAGGCAAGGAGCCUUCCUUCUGUUUCUGCCCCAUAGACUAGAAACACUGUGUGGGUCGCGUGCUCACAGCCUGACAGCAGCACAGAGAAGGAGGGGCACUUGAGACUGUGCAUUAGUGCAGGCUCGGUCCUGAGCCUGGCCCACAGCACGGCAGAGAUACUCUUUCCGCAGCAGCUCUUCAGGGAAAGAGAAGCCUUGUCAUCCGAAGAUGGGGUCCUCACACUGCAGCUGCGCUGUUUCAGAGCCCACCUGCUCUAAACUGCCCUGUCUCCGACUCCUCAUCAGGCACCUGCCCUUCCGAUAGAGUGGCGCCCUGCUCCCUCCUUUCCUGCAGUCUGGCUGUGUCUCCCAAGGUGAUCAGGAACCUACUUCCCUCAGCCACUCCCUGCCCCACCCCCAAGAUGACCAGGCACCUCCCUCAGCCACUCCCUGCCUCACCCCACCCCCCAAGUCCCCACUACCACUCAGAGCAGAAACUUCAGCAGCCAUCAUGUGACCUUGAAGAUGGAAGUCACAUGCCAGAGAAGACAGAAGGCAGAGACACAGAUAACUUCAAAGAGCUAACUGAAUAGCACCUGACUCCCACUCUUUGUAAAGCAAAGAGAAUAAAUCCUUGUAUGUAAACGACUAGA